rnacentral:sRNA from 1 species
CUUUUCAUCUACACAUCUGAAGUGGACGGACAGGCAGAACUUGUUGUUCUCCACCUUGGCUCCAGGUGUAGAUUUCGUCUUUUCCACCAGCGUCUUUACCUCGUCGAUCAUGGGGAGGAACUCGCUUGCUGGCUGGCAAAGGGCAGACUCCGGCUGCAGAUUGUCAUGGGAGAAGAAGAAGA